rnacentral:misc_RNA from 1 species
UUUUUUUAAUUUUCUUUUCUCUGUAGACUUGUUGAUUCUAUUGGAGAUAUGACCGAUGACUUAAAUAGUGUUAGGUUCAAAUCAAUUACAAAUCUAGAAUAGAAGUCAUUUGAAAAUGAACUUUUCUUUGGUAUGACACAAUUGAAAUGCAGAAUUCAAUUGAGUUCCACAUCAUUUAUGUUUGUUGUAAUUUCAUAAUUGAAAUUCAUUUAUCCUUACUUUAGAGAAAGGUAGGAGAGAGGGAGGGGGAGAGGAGGAGAGAAAGGUAGGGGAGAGGGUGUGUGUUUGUGAGGAAUACAUGGUCAUUUUAUUCCCAAAAAAAUGUGUUGUGUUAGUUUUGUGGGGUUCAUUUCAAACUCCAUUGAAUUGGUUUUAGUUAUAACCAAU